GAUUGAAACCAGUGGCGAUAUCGUAACCAACGAGGCACAUCCGAGGUACGAUUAUUGCUAGUUGAAAAAAAAUCGCUAGAUAUAAAACCUUCUAAUUUUUCAACUUUCCCAAUAUUUUUCAUUACUUUUUGUCAUGUAAAUUUGC